rnacentral:rRNA from 1 species
UGGGGAAUAUUGGACAAUGGGCGAAAGCCUGAUCCAGCCAUGCCGCGUGAGUGAUGAAGGCCCUAGGGUUGUAAAGCUCUUUCAACGGUGAAGAUAAUGACGGUAACCGUAGAAGAAGCCCCGGCUAACUUCGUGCCAGCAGCCGCGGUAAUACGAAGGGGGCUAGCGUUGUUCGGAAUAACUGGGCGUAAAGCGCGCGUAGGCGGAUUGUUUAGUUAGGGGUGAAAUCCCAGGGCUUAACCCUGGAACUGCCUUUAAUACUGGCAAUCUAGAGUUCGAGAGAGGUGAGUGGAAUUCCGAGUGUAGAGGUGAAAUUCGUAGAUAUUCGGAGGAACACCAGUGGCGAAGGCGGCUCACUGGCUCGAUACUGACGCUGAGGUGCGAAAGCGUGGGGAGCAAACAGGAUUAGAUACCCCCGUAGUCC